AUUGAACGCUGGCGGCAUGCCUUACACAUGCAAGUCGAACGGCAGCACGGGUGCUUGCACCUGGUGGCGAGUGGCGAACGGGUGAGUAAUACAUCGGAACAUGUCCUGUAGUGGGGAAUAGCCCGGCGAAAGCCGGAUUAAUACCGCAUACGAUCUACGGAUGAAAGCGGGGGACCUUCGGGCCUCGCGCUAUCGGGUUGGCCGAUGGCUGAUUAGCUAGUUGGUGGGGUAAAGGCCUACCAAGGCGACGAUCAGUAGCUGGUCUGAGAGGACGACCAGCCACACUGGGACUGAGACACGGCCCAGACUCCUACGGGAGGCAGCAGUGGGGAAUUUUGGACAAAGGGCGAAAGCCUGAUCCAGCAAUGCCGCGUGUGUGAAGAAGGCCUUCGGGUUGUAAAGCACUUUUGUCCGGAAAGAAAUCCUUGGCCCUAAUACGGUCGGGGGAUGACGGUACCGGAAGAAUAAGUACCGGCUAACUACGUG
rnacentral:rRNA from 1 species